UUCCAAAACUAAAGAAUCAAAAUUAAAGAAUCAAAAGAUAAAAGCAAAAAAGGAUUGUGCCAGAAAUGCUACAAGCAGCUGAAACGUGAGCCUGCUAGCGAGAUUGCAGGUGAAGUGAAGAAUGGAUUGGAAUCCAUGUCAAUCCAGUGUAGCCUAGGAUGCGGUAAAGUACUCAAUGGAAGUCGCCAGUUUCAGUAUCACAUUUCUAGUGAAUGCCAAUGGAGAUUAGUCCAGUGUCCCAAUAAAGGAUGCCAAGAAAAGUGUCGAUAGCAAAUUCUCAUCUUAUUUAUCAUCUGGAUUCUGGAAGGAGGGACCCGCCUCUUUAUUUUGAAUACAUGAUAGCUGUAGCCAAUAACUGUCACUCUUGCAUCGAGUUUACUGAACAACUUAAAAGGACAAGCGAAAUUGACAUGGGACGGUUAACGAGCAAUAUUGGGAAAUUAUUU